UGGGGAAUUUUGGACAAUGGGCGAAAGCCUGAUCCAGCAAUGCCGCGUGUGUGAAGAAGGCCUUCGGGUUGUAAAGCACUUUUGUCCGGAAAGAAAUCCUUGGCUCUAAUACAGUCGGGGGAUGACAGUACCGGAAGAAUAAGCACCGGCUAACUACGUGCCAGCAGCCGCGGUAAUACGUAGGGUGCAAGCGUUAAUCGGAAUUACUGGGCGUAAAGCGUGCGCAGGCGGUUUGCUAAGACCGAUGUGAAAUCCCCGGGCUCAACCUGGGAACUGCAUUGGUGACUGGCAGGCUAGAGUAUGGCAGAGGGGGGUAGAAUUCCACGUGUAGCAGUGAAAUGCGUAGAGAUGUGGAGGAAUACCGAUGGCGAAGGCAGCCCCCUGGGCCAAUACUGACGAUCAUGCACGAAAGCGUGGGGAGCAAAACAGGAUUAGAUACCCUGGUAGUCCACGCCCUAAAACGAUGUCAACUAGUUGUUGGGGAUUCAUUUCCUUAGUAACGUAGCUAACGCGUGAAGUUGACCGCCUGGGGAGUACGGUCGCAAGAUUAAAACUCAAAUGAAUUGACGGGGUCAUAGCUGUUUCCU
rnacentral:rRNA from 1 species